rnacentral:rRNA from 1 species
UACGUAGGGCGCAAGCGUUGUCCGGAAUUAUUGGGCGUAAAGAGCUCGUAGGCGGUUUGUCGCGUCUGCUGUGAAAACCCGAGGCUCAACCUCGGGCCUGCAGUGGGUACGGGCAGACUAGAGUGUGGUAGGGGAGACUGGAAUUCCUGGUGUAGCGGUGGAAUGCGCAGAUAUCAGGAGGAACACCAAUGGCGAAGGCAGGUCUCUGGGCCACAACUGACGCUGGAGGAAGCGAAAGCGUGGGGAGCGAACAGG